UACGUAGGGUGCAAGCGUUAUCCGGAAUUAUUGGGCGUAAAGAGCUCGUAGGCGGUUUGUCGCGUCUGCUGUGAAAACUGGGGGCUCAACCCCCAGCCUGCAGUGGGUACGGGCAGACUAGAGUGCGGUAGGGGAGAUUGGAAUUCCUGGUGUAGCGGUGGAAUGCGCAGAUAUCAGGAGGAACACCAGCGGCGAAGGCGGCGCCUCUGGGCCGGUACUGACACUGAGGAGCGAAAGCGUGGGAGCAAACAGGAUAGAUACCCAGU
rnacentral:rRNA from 1 species